GCGCGCCCGUCAAAUCCCCAUUCUUCUUUACAUCCUGUAUGAUCUUGACGGUAUGGAAUGUUUAGAAGUAUGGAGGAGAGACGGGCGGCUCGUCGGGGGACGCGGGCUGGCGGCCAUGCUCGUGACUGUCGGCAUCUCGGGGCGUCCGCGGGCACGAGCCUGACCGGCGCGCCGGCGCAGAGCGGCCCCACCAGGCAGGGCUGCUGCUCUCAGCCGGGUGAGAGCAGCGGCUGACAGCGGACCAGCUGUUGCAGGGCGAGGUGUGCGCGGACGACAGGGAGCCCGCCCAGCACUCGCAGCCGCUCGGACCGCCGACCGUGCUGCCAUCUGUGGCACCUGGAGCGCCGCCGCCGGCCGGAAACACGCCGACAACAGCGACAUCUAGAAGAUCGGACUUUCAAGUGUCGAAACAAGCCGCUGGGUACGCAGGCAUCGCGGUAGUGCAAGUGACUUUAUGAGCGGCUAGCUUAAACCCACAGGCCACUUGUCUUUUCGCCUCUGCGAAAAUUGUACUGGCCUGUCUGAUCAAUCAGCCGCAUGGCUGAUAUCUGCGCUGUUGAACCGUCAGCACGUAAGCGACAACACUGCCUACCAUAUGCAUGCGAGCUUUGCUGACCACCAGCCGUCUGUACAUCCAAAUAUCGGCAGAAUAUACCCAUUUCAUCAAUGGCAA